AUACCUUUCUCGGCCUUUUGGCUAAGAUCAAGUGUAGUAUCUGUUCUUAUCAGUUUAAUAUCUGAUAUGUGGGUCAUGUGCCCACAACGAUAUUAAAUUUAUUUUUUGUGGGGGAGGUCCAUCACACUAGCUUGCUAGUGGGGUCCUCAUGUGUCGCAUGGGCGUUGCACUACUGCCCAGGCUAGGCGCACCCCAA
rnacentral:snRNA from 1 species